rnacentral:rRNA from 1 species
GAUGAACGCUGGCGGCGUGCCUAAUACAUGCAAGUCGAGCGAACGGACGAGAAGCUUGCGUCUCUGACGUUAGCGGCGGACGGGUGAGUAACACGUGGAUAACCUCCCUAUCAGACUGGGAUAACCUCGGGAAACCGGAGCUAAUACCGGAUAAUAUUUUGAACCGCAUGGUUCAAAAGUGAAAGACGGUCUUGCUGUCACUUAUAGAUGCAUCCGCGCUGCUUUAGCUAGUUGGUAAGGUAACGGCUUACCAAGGCAACGAUGCAUAGCCGACCUGAGAGGGUGAUCGGCCACACUGGAGCUGGGCCACGGUCCAGACUCCUGCGGGAGGCAGCAGUAGGGAAUCUUCCGCAAUGGGCGAAAGCCUGACGGAGCGACGCCGCGUGAGUGAUGAAGGUCUUCGGAUCGUAAAGCUCUGUUAUUAGGGAAGAACAUAUGUGUAAGUAACUGUGCACAUCUUGACGGUACCUAAUCAGAAAGCCACGGCUAACUACGUG